AUUGAACGCUGGCGGCAUGCCUUACACAUGCAAGUCGAACGGCAGCACGGGAGCACUCCUGGUGGCGAGUGGCGAACGGGUGAGUAAUAUAUCGGAACGUGCCCAGUCGUGGGGGAUAACGCAGCGAAAGCUGUGCUAAUACCGCAUACGAUCUAAGGAUGAAAGCGGGGGAUCGCAAGACCUCGCGCGAUUGGAGCGGUCGAUAUCAGAUUAGCUAGUUGGUGGGUUAAAGGCCCACCAAGGCGACGAUCUGUAGCUGGUCUGGGAGGACGACCAGCCACACUGGAACUGAGACACGGUCCAGACUCCUACGGGAGGCAGCAGUGGGGAAUUUUGGACAAUGGGCGCAAGCCUGAUCCAGCAAUGCCGCGUGCAGGAUGAAGGCCUUCGGGUUGUAAACUGCUUUUGUACGGAACGAAACGGCCCUUUCUAAUACGGGGGGCUAAUGACGGUACCGUAGGAAUAAGCACCGGCUAACUACGUGCCAGCAGCCGCCGUAAAAC
rnacentral:rRNA from 1 species